GGUUUCCUAGUGCUUACCACAGGCUGCAUACUGUCUGCAUAGAAAGAGGAGAAAAAGGAAACCUAUCCCAUAUACACUUCAACCCAGGCCCUGUGCCUGGUAUGUAUUGUGAUUAGGGAACCAUGG
rnacentral:snoRNA from 1 species